rnacentral:tRNA from 1 species
GCGGAUGUGGUGGAACUGGUAGACACGCAGUCUUGAGGGGGCUGUGGCUAACGCCGUGACGGUUCGACUCCGUCCAUCCGCACCA